rnacentral:lncRNA from 1 species
UUUCUUUUCUCUUCGAUCUGUAUCCUGACCCUUUCAUGGAGUGCUUUCACCAUCUCUGCCUUGCGUUUCCCAUCCAAGCUACCUCAUUCAUGCACAGGUAAAGGUAUUAAAUCCAUAGGUGUUAGUGGAUUAAAACCAUAAACAAUCUCAAAAGGAGAAAAUGAAGUAGUAGAAUGUAUGGCUCGAUUAUAUGCAAACUCUAUGAAUGGUAAACACUCUUC